AUGGUAAAUGCGGAAACACUGCUUAAUGCAAAGUCCAGGCUUAUCUGGACAGGUGUCACAUUGAUAUAUGGUAUCCCGCCGUAUCCCAUUCUUGCAACACCCUACAUCUCUUUUGGGCUCUGCUUUUUUUCGCAGUAGGGGGCACCUCUGAUGGGAAAUGUUGCCCUGGGAUAAUUCUGCUGGCAUGACUAGAUGACGCUAUCCCACUGCUAUCCUGGCGCUGCUCUCCA